ensembl:snoRNA Y39A3CR.11 ncRNA
AUUUUUCGUGUGAAAUUAUGAAAAAUCUCAACAAUUUUCUCAGAAAAUGUGAGAAAAACGGUGAAAAAUGGGUUUUUUCGUCGCUGUAAAAAUUAGCUCAAAAACCCCGGAAAAUUGGAGAAAAAUCCAAUUUUCGAGUCAU